CACAAGCGGUGGAGUAUGUGGUUUAAUUCGAUGCAACGCGAAGAACCUUACCUGGUCUUGACAUCCCGGAGACCCUUAGGAAACUAGGGGGUGCUUCCAUCUGGAAGAAUCUGGAGACAGGUGCUGCAUGGCUGUCGUCAGCUCGUGUCGUGAGAUGUUGGGUUAAGUCCCGCAACGAGCGCAACCCUUGCCUUUAGUUGCCAGCAGUUCGGCUGGGCACUCUAAAGGGACUGCCGGUGUUAAACCGGAGGAAGGUGGGGAUGACGUCAAGUCCUCAUGGCCUUUAUGACCAGGGCUACACACGUACUACAAUGGCCGAUACAAAGGGCAGCGACACUGCGAGGUGAAGCCAAUCCCGUAAAAUCGGUCUCAGUCCGGAUUGGAGUCUGCAACUCGACUCCAUGAAGUUGGAAUCGCUAGUAAUCGUGAAUCAGAAUGUCACGGUGAAUACGUUCCCGGGCCUU
rnacentral:rRNA from 1 species